rnacentral:rRNA from 1 species
GUGAGGAAUAUUGGUCAAUGGUCGCGAGACUGAACCAGCCAAGCCGCGUGAAGGAUGAAGGCCCUAUGGGUCGUAAACUUCUUUUGUCAGGGAACAAAACAGAGAACGAGUUCUUUGCCGAGUGUACCUGAAGAAAAAGCAUCGGCUAACUCCGUGCCAGCAGCCGCGGUAAUACGGAGGAUGCGAGCGUUAUCCGGAUUUAUUGGGUUUAAAGGGUGCGUAGGCGGACUGUUAAGCCGGCGGUAAAAGCCCGGGGCUCAACCCCGGCAAGCCGUCGGAACUGGCAGACUAGAGUAGGCGAGAGGUACGCGGAAUGCGCGGUGUAGCGGUGAAAUGCAUAGAUAUCGCGCAGAACUCCGAUUGCGAAGGCAGCGUACUGGCGCCCGACUGACGCUGAGGCACGAAAGCGUGGGUAUCGAACAGGA